GUGAAGGUUAGGCUAAGAAGUGUGAUGAGCUUUAUUUAGGUAAUAGGCAAUGAGGAGAAAUUGAAACAUGAAGGAACAUAAUUUGAGGUGUGAUUAUUUGAGUUUUUAAAAUAUUAUCACUGUGCAUCAGAAUGGGUUAGGGAAGGCUUAAAUCCUGGAUGCUGGCUCAGCACCUAUUAGAGCAAUUAAAAUGAGAAAUGAUGCAGACUAAACUAGAAUUUCAGGUAAAAAUGGGAAAAAUAGGCGUUAAAAAAUGGUAUAAACGUUAAAAAACUACACUUGACUGAGUUAGAAUAUGGAGGAAAAGGAAGUAUGGAGAUCAAAAGAAAACAUCAGGAUUUGGGAGCUUGGACACAGGGGAAUGACAACGUAAAGGGAUUAUUUCAAAGAUAAUUUGGCAUAGACACUUCUAGACUCUCCUCUUCAUCUGUGUGUGGAAUACGAACUAUUUUAGUGACUACACAAACACAGAUAUAAACUUUUACCCUCUACAAUAUUUAAAUCCCUUAAAGAGUGGCAUAUCCCUGAUUAGGACUGUCCCUUCUGCCUGAGUUCUGGACUGAAAAGCCCCGAGGAGCAGAGCUCUA
rnacentral:lncRNA from 1 species